rnacentral:rRNA from 1 species
GUCGACGGGCGUGCUUCUUCGGGAGCCGUCAGUGGCGAACGGGUGCGUAAUACGUGAGUGACCUGCCCUUCUUUGGGGGAUAACCCGGGGAAACCCGAGCUAAUACCGCAUAGGCCGGGGGGCCGCAUGGCCUGCUGGUGAAAGGAGUGAGGCUUAGCCUGGCUCUGAGGAAGGAGGGGCUCGCGGCGUAUCAGCUAGCUGGUGGGGUAACGGCCCACCAGGGCUCUGACGCGUAGCCGGUCUGAGAGGAUGAUCGGCCACAUUGGGACUGAGAUACGGCCCAGACUCCUACGGGAGGCAGCAGUGGGGAAUCUUGCGCAAUGGGCGAAAGCCUGACGCAGCGACGCCGCGUGCGGGAGGAAGCUCUUCGGGGUGUAAACCGCUGUCAGGAGGGACGAAGGAUGAGCCUAAAGCUCAUCUUGACGGUACCUUCAGAGGAAGCACCGGCUAACUCCGUGCCAGCAGCCGCGGUAAUACGGAGGGUGCGAGCGUUGUUCGGAAUUACUGGGCGUAAAGCGCGCGUAGGCGGCAGCGCAAGUCUGGCUGUGAAAUCCCGCGGCUCAACUGCGGGGCUGCAGCGGAUACUGCGUUGCUGGAGAGAGGCAGAGGCCAGUGGAAUUCCGGGUGUAGCGGUGGAAUGCGUAGAGAUCCGGAAGAACACCGGAGGCGAAGGCGGCUGGCUGGGCCUUUUCUGACGCUGAGGCGCGAAAGCGUGGGGAGCGAACAGGAUUAGAUACCCUGGUAGUCCACGCUGUAAACGAUGGGCACUAGAGGGCGGGGGGAUCGAGCCCUUCGCUCUCGCAGCUAACGCGUUAAGUGCCCCGCCUGGGAAGUACGGUCGCAAGGCUAAAACUCAAAGGAAUUGACGGGGGCUCACACAAGCGGUGGAGCAUGUGGUUUAAUUCGAAGCAACGCGCAGAACCUUACCUGGGUUUGAAAUGGCCGGAUUAUCUUGGUGAAAGCCGAGUACGCCCUUCGGGGUGGAACGGUCACAGGUGCUGCAUGGCUGUCGUCAGCUCGUGUCGUGAGAUGUCGGGUUAAGUCCCUUAACGAGCGAAACCUUUGCCCUUAGUUACUAACGGGUUAUGCCGAGGCCUCUAAGGGGACUGCCGGUGUCAAACCGGAGGAAGGUGGAGAUGACGUCAAGUCCGCAUGGCCUUUAUGCCCAGGGCCACACACGU